rnacentral:lncRNA from 1 species
UAAGAAUCGAUAAAAUACCAUUAGAAUAAGAGGGCGAGACGGAAAAAAAAAAAAGGAGAUUUCCAAAAGUUGUAUCCUACUGGUUAACUUAAAUAUUACCUUCGGAGGGGAUACUCUCUCUGGAAGGAAGAAUAGGAGCAAGUUAGUGUUGGCUAGCUCAACAAUAGCAGUGUCCCCACUUGAAGGAAUAGCCUGGGAAUUUGUGGGAAGAGGAAGUUUGAUAGGAAUGGACAAAGUAUUUAGAGCCUUAGAGGGUAACAGAGCAACUCGGGAGAUAAGUUGUCCUCAAAAUCUUCUUCAAGGGCCUCCAAAAAAUCCAUAUUUCAUUUAGGAUAAAAGCUCCUAAUAAUGUCCGGUUUAACUCUAAGAUAGUAAGCUUUACCUUGCAACUUUCUAGCUCAUUACGAAGUCACCAUACUCGCCUAGCUAAUCAGAUAUUGGCAUCUAGGAGAAUCAUUUCAUUCAUUGAACUUUCAAGAUCUCUGACGGUAAGGAAUUGCUCAACCUUCACCAACUGAAGCUCCUCCUUCAGUCUGGAAACCUCGCGAUCAACCCUCUAAGCUUAGGCUUGAUGGUUCAAUUUAGCUUGCUCCAAGUCUUUAGAGACCCUCCUAAUAUCGGCUAUCAGAAUAGCCUUAUUGUUAGCAUAAAUCUCAACACUUCUGAACAUCUUCUUAUAUUUAACUUUCUCCUUCUCUACCUCCUCUAGUUUCCUUUGAAAAGUGUCACACUUCAUCUCCGAAGGCUGAAUUUUUUUAUCCAAACUAUCAGUUCACAAAAUGUAAAUCUCAUACUCUGUUUGUUGGUCAUGCCUCAUGGUGUAGUACCAUAGCUCGCAUCAAUCAUUUUUUUCUUUGUGUUGGAGCAAAUUCCACUAUGAAUUUCUCAAGAAUUGGUUAAAAUAAGUACAGGCAAAUCUCACAGUCCGAGAAAUAAAAGGAGAAAAUGUAGAUAAAACCAUUGAAU